rnacentral:lncRNA from 1 species
AUUUCAAGUUUCUUUGGAAAAUAGGAAGGGAUACUAUCUGAAUUCUUUGUUAAGGGCUAGAUAGAUUCAAAUUGAUCCUGUGCUCUGUCUAUCUAUAGUAUUGUCUCAGUGUAAUGGCAUAUACAAAAACCUUACUUUUAAGUAAUUAACAAUAUAGUUGAAAAGACAUUCCUCUUUAUAUCAAAUUAAAAAUAGCAAGUGUCAAAAUAUGAUUUAGAUGGUAAUUUCAGUGGUAGCUUAGAGAGGAAGGAAAAAUGUGCAUAGGCAUUGCUAGGAAUACUUAUAUAUAGAUGUAUGUAUGACAAAUAUUUGUAUGUACAUAUUUGUGUAUAUACAUAUAUAUUUAUAUAAGGAUCAUUGUUGUUUCAAGGUUUGGGCUAAAGAAUCAGAAAAUGGCUUCAAAUUCUUGCUUGCUUAUAUAUCAUCUCUGUGACCCUGAGCAACUGUUAUAGCCUUUGUCUCAUUUGUGCAAUGAAAAUAUUAAUAUCUACAUCACUAAUUUUUUAUGUCUUAAAUAUAAUAGUGUUUGUGAAACACCAAUUUGUAGUGUAUAAUAAAUUGUAAUUAUUUUAUCAAUUAUCAAUUAUAUCAAUAUGCUUAGUGACUCUAUAAAAAGAAGAUGUAUGUUUUCUUGUUAGUAAAAGAUUUUAUAGUGUAUAGUUCAGUAUUUUUACAUUAGUUUUUUGCAGUGUUCAGCUACAGAAAUACCCCAAAUAUGUGACAGCAGGACAUUCAGAAUUGUCAGAUUGAAGAAUGGAUUGUAAAUUUGUUGCUAAGCCAGCAGAAGAUAUGCUUGUCUAACUUUACUGAAGUGUCAGAGUACAUGAGACUUUGAGCAGUGAUGAGUGAGUUUGGUCAAAAUGUUGAAAUCAUGCAUACAAGCCACUUUAUGAUGAGGCUAUUCUUUAUUUCUCUGUUGAAAGAUAAAGUGUCUUGCUCACUUUUUCCAUAAAAUGAGGGGAUGUAUUUAGAUAAAGCAUUUUUUAAUUAAAUAAAAUUUGGGGAGUACAUUUUUUAUUUCCAAUGAUCUGUAUAAAGCCGUAUGUGUUUUGCUUCUUAAAGAAAAGAACAGUUUCUAAAAGACCAUAAAACCAUUAGUUAAAACUGUCUUUGUCAAUUAAAUUCCACAAGAGUAUUUUUUAUUACAACAAUUAUUUAUAAUCCAAAUAUCAUCACCAAUUGUCCUUUAAAAGUUGUGGUUCAGUCUUUCGCUGCUCUUUUUUAUUCUUUUAAUGGCUAACUCUGUGGCACAUAGAAGUUCUCAGGCCAGGGGUCAAAUCAGAGCUGCAGCCUCCAGCCUUCACCACAGCCAUGAUAACAUGGGAUCUGAUCAGCACUUGUGACCUAUGUUGCAGAUCUUGGCAACUCCAGAACGAACCUACAUGGUCACAGACACCAUGUCUAAUUCUUAACCUGCUAAGCCAUAAUGUGAACUAUUUUCACUGCUCUUAAUAACAAAGUAGUCAUGCUGUUCCAAAUGCAAUGAGUGCCUAGUGUACUCUCUGAUGAGAAUUAACAUUAUAGAUUGGAAUGGAGCUAGGCUCAACUUUUGGCUCUUGUACCAUGGGACCUUGAGCAAGUGUUCCAGAUACUCAGCAUUGCAUAGGAACACGCCUUCCCCCAAACUUAGUGACUUAAAAUGAUAAACAUUAGUUUUUCUUAUAAAUUUGGGCAAGAUUCAGCAAGGACAGCUCAUCUCUUCCUCAUGCAGCAUCAGCUGGGGCAGGUCCAGUGGCCUGGAGAAUCUACAUCCCAGGUAGUUCACUUACCCCCUGGCUGGAGGGUGAUGCUGGUGUCAGCUGGGAGCUCAGCCACAGCCAUGCACCAAAAGCCUAAGUUCUCCAUGUGGCUUCUCUUCAUGGCUCUUUGGCCUUGCUCUUGGCAUGGUGGCCAACUUCUUUUUUUUUUUUUUUUUUUUUUUUUUUUUUUUUUUUUUUUGGGAGGUUACCAGGCCAGGGGUCAAAUUGGAGCUACAGCUGUGGGCCUAUGCCACAGCCACAGCAAUGAAGAGUCUGAGCCACAUAUGCAACCUACAUCAUAGCUCACAGCAUUGCUGGAUCCUUAACCAAACGAACGAGGCCAGGGAUCAAACUUGCAUCCUCAUGGAUACGAGUCAUGUUUGUUAUCGCCGAGCCACAAUAGGAAUUCCUAAAAGGCUACAUUCUUUAUUAUCUUUUGUAACUAAUUUUUUGUAGGAAUAACUAAAAAAAAAUUUGUAUACAAAAUACUUUGUACAACAUCUGACUCGAUCUGAAUGUGUAGUACUUAUAAAUGGAUUUGCUGUAGUUAUUAUUACUGAUGUAUCAUACAGUGAAGCACGGGUUCUUUUCUCUUUGGUGAUGAUUUUAUUUAUUUAGAAAAGUAAAUUUACUCUGGCUUAGGAGUAUGUAAAAAAGGAAUAUUGAAAUAAAAAGUUAGAAACUGUUAUUACUGAAUGUCCAAAAAAAAUAGUGAAAUGGCAAUAAUCUUCUUCAUGACUGCAAGAAGUAGUUCCCCUGCAAGAAAGGUUGAAUAUUUUGAAGCAUGAUCCACAAUUUAUUAUUAUUAUUAUUAUUAUUUUAUUUUAUUUUUUUUAGGGCCAUACCCAUGGCAUAUGGAGGUUCCCAGGCUAGGGGUCAAAUCGGAGCUGUAGGUGCUGGCCUAUACCACAGCAACGCCAGAUCCGAGCCACGUCUGUGACCUACACCACAGCUCACAGCAACGUCAGAUCCUUAACCUACUGAGAGAGGCCAGGGAUUGAACCCGAAACUUCAUGGUUCCUAGUUGGAUUCGUUUCCACUGUGCCAUGAUGGAAACUCCCACAAGUUAUUAUUAAUAUAUUUGUAUCUGAUAUUGAGAUUUUCCUUCAGUAGUUAUUAAUAGGUUAUUGUGGAAAAAACACAAUAUUUUAUGCAUAUUUUACCCUUAGGUUUUAGGGGCUUUUUUCUUUUUCUUUUUCUUUCAAUUCUCCAAUAUUCCCUGCCUUCUCUACUUAUAUGAUAGCAAAUUUUAAUUUUCAUAACUACAGAACAGCAUCUAGGAAAAUAGUAAUGAUACUGCCUAUCCCAAUUUAUUAAAUUUCCUGAGUUCUAACAUUUUGAGAAAUGAUGCUCAUCACAUAUUUUGCUGAUAUGUCAUUCAAGUUUAUCUAAACUUAUGGAAUAUUGAGCACCUAUGAGUAAAAAACAGUCAAUUACAUUAAUAUCAUUUCCUGUCACAGAGGACACAAUUCAAUAUUUCAUCAGAUGAUGAGAACUGCACAGCAUGAUAUGCCAACUAGGAUUCCUGGUCAUCCCUUGACUUAGAAUUCUCUAAUAAUAAAGAUAAACCUAGAAAACAUUGCUUGCAAUAUAUAACCUAACAAUUCAAUUUUUAAAAUAAAGUACGUAAAGAAUAGGUCACACAUUUCUUGAUUCUGUUUUUUAGCAGACAUAAAUCUGUACAUGUGGCACAUGUGUGUGAUAAUACUUUCCAACUGUAUUUCAGUCAACACCCAGAGACUUUAAUUUUCUGAGGACAAUUUCAAACAUCAAUAAUGGCAAUUAUAUGGCAAGAUAUGUACUUCAUUAAUAUUAGUGGUAUUUCAAUAACUAUACUCAUUGUAUGUACCUUUAUUAUAUACUUUUCUAUAAAAAUUUGUUUGAACUUUUUAAUACGUAACCUGUCUUUUGUGGUUAUUUUAAGAAACAAAGUUCCUCAAAUCAGAAACAUAUUUUUGAAAUAGAAAAACUGUGUUUUAACUUAUUUAUUAUGCAAUUUUAUGAGAAUAUUUAUAUAUUUUACAUUUUAUUCUUCUAGCAUUCUUGCUACUUGCAGCUGGUGUAUUCUUAAUUGCAAGGUGUAGUAACAUCUUCUUCCUAAAAUAAACAGAGAAAUUUGUUUGCAGAAUAUAUGAAAAAAAUUGUUUUUAGGACAUACAAUAUCCAAUAACAUAGGACAACAGUAUAUAUUUUAGGCUUUGCAGGCCAAAGAGACAAUAUUGAGGAUAUCAUGUACUAUAUAAUUAUUUAAAAAUGUGAAAGUCAUUCUUAGCUCACAAGUGGCGUAAAACCAGCAGACAGUGGCCAGAUUUGGCUAAAGGGCAAUAGUUUACCAAUUCCUGCUGUAGUAAGUAGGGAGUAGUAUGGUCAUCUCUACCAUUUAAAAAUGUAGGCAUUCCCAUAAUGGCUCAGCAGAAAACAAAUCUGACUAGCAUCUAUGAGGAUGCAGGUUCGAUCCCUGGCCAUAAUCAGUGGGUUAAGAGUCCAGCCUUGCCAUGAGCUGUGGUUUAGGUCACAGACAUGGCUUGGAUCCUGCAUUGCUGUGGCUAUGGUGUAGGCCAGCAGUUUCAGCUGCAAUUCGACGGCUAGCCUGGGAACCUCCAUAUGCUGUGAGUGCAGCCCUAAAAAGACAAAAAAAAAAAAAAAAAAAAAAAAAAA